rnacentral:rRNA from 1 species
UACGGAGGAUGCAAGCGUUAUCCGGAAUCAUUGGGCGUAAAGGGUCCUGAGGUGGUUUGCUAAGUCUACUGUGAAAGAUCAGGGCUCAACCCUGAAGAUGCGGUGGAAACUGGCAGGCUAGAAUACGGUAGGGGCAGGGGGAAGUUCCCGGUGUAGCGGUGAAAUGCGUAGAUAUCGAGAGGAACACCUGCGGCGAAGGCGGGUUGCUGGGCUGACACUGACGCUGAUGCGCGAAAGCCAGGGGAGCGAACGGG